rnacentral:rRNA from 11 species
GCUAGAUGCCUAAAUAUUCUAAAGGCACCAGAUUCCCUUCUGAUCUGGAACUAAGCAGCAUAUGCGCUGGUUCGUAUUUGGAUGGGGGGCCAGCAACUAAUAGCAGGUGCUGUAGGCU